GACGUAGGGCGCGAGCGUUGUCCGGAUUUAUUGGGCGUAAAGAGCUCGUAGGCGGCUUGUCGCGUCGUCCGUGAAAACUUGGGGCUCAACCCCAAGCUUGCGGUCGAUACGGGCAGGCUAGAGUUCGGUAGGGGAGACUGGAAUUCCUGGUGUAGCGGUGAAAUGCGUAGAUAUCGAGAGGAACACCAGUGGCGAAGGCGAGUCUCUGGACGACUCCUGACACUGAGGCACGAAAGCCAGGGGAGCAAACAGG
rnacentral:rRNA from 1 species